CAUGGUUAAGUGGGAAACGAUGUGGGAAGGCCCAGACAGCCAGGAUGUUGGCUUAGAAGCAGCCAUCAUUUAAAGAAAGCGUAAUAGCUCACUGGUCGAGUCGGCCUGCGCGGAAGAUGUAACGGGGCUAAACCAUGCACCGAAGCUGCGGCAGCGAACGUAUCACCCAAGACAACUUUACGGAGUUGACGAUUGACGGAGCGAAGCGACGUCAAAGCGUUCAUUAAAGUCGAGUUGGCUUAGGGAUACGUUCGUUGGGUAGGGGAGCGUUCUGUAAGCCUGUGAAGGUGUGUCGUGAGGCAUGCUGGAGGUAUCAGAAGUGCGAAUGCUGACAUAAGUAACGAUAAAGCGGGUGAAAAGCCCGCUCGCCGGAAGACCAAGGGUUCCUGUCCAACGUUAAUCGGGGCAGGGUGAGUCGACCCCUAAGGCGAGGCCGAAAGGCGUAGUCGAUGGGAAACGGGUUAAUAUUCCCGUACUUGGUGUUACUGCGAAGGGGGGACGGAGAAGGCUAUGUUGGCCGGGCGACGGUUGUCCCGGUUUAAGCGUGUAGGUGUGUGUUCCAGGUAAAUCCGGUU
rnacentral:rRNA from 1 species